rnacentral:rRNA from 1 species
AUUGAACGCUGGCGGCAGGCCUAACACAUGCAAGUCGAGCGAGCGGCGGACGGGUGAGUAAUGUCUGGGAAACUGCUUGAUGGAGGGGGAUAACUACAGGAAACGGUAGUUAAUACCGCAUCCAAUCAGGUGUGGGCAGGUGGGACUAGCUAGUAGGUGGGGUAAUGGCUCACCUAGGCGACGAUCCCUAGCUGGUCUGAGAGGAUGAUCAGCCACACUGGAACUGAGACACGGUCCAGACUCCUACGGGAGGCAGCAGUGGGGAAUAUUGCACAAUGGGCGAAAGCCUGAGGCAGCCAUGCCGCGUGUGUGAAGAAGGCCUUCGGGUUGUAAAGCACUUUCAGCGGGGAGGCGUUACCCGCAGAAGAAGCACCGGCUAACUCCGUGCCAGCAGCCGCGGUAAUAC